UACGGAGGGUGCAAGCGUUAUCCGGAUUUACUGGGCGUAAAGGGCGCGUAGGCGGCCAGCGCAAGUCAGUUGUGAAAUCUCCGGGCUUAACUCGGAACGGUCAACUGAUACUGCGCGGCUAGAGUGCAGAAGGGGCAACUGGAAUUCUCGGUGUAGCGGUGAAAUGCGUAGAUAUCGAGAGGAACACCUGCGGCGAAGGCGGGUUGCUGGGCUGACACUGACGCUGAUGCGCGAAAGCCAGGGGAGCGAACGGG
rnacentral:rRNA from 1 species